GAAUCUUCACCUUUUUUUUUACAUAGCAGGAGGACAGUAUAUAUUUUAUUAUGAGAAAAACAAGAACAGAACAGAAUUUGUUACAGAAUAUAUAUGUAUACACUAUCAAAAUAUUCAAAUUGACAUUUUAAAGUAAAUGUACACAGGAAUAAACAUCUAAACCACAUUCUCCUAAUAAAUAAACAAAUGUACAAAAAAGGUGAAGAUUCUUACAUACAAUUUAAAACAAAGACUGCUUGUUUAGUGAUUGUAGUAACAAACAGAAUAUUUCAGUGUCUACAGAUAGAUAACCACUAAAAUGGAAUA